AUUGAACGCUGGCGGCAGGCCUAACACAUGCAAGUCGAACAAGUGGCGGACGGGUGAGUAAUGGCUGGGCAACUGCCCGAUGGAGGGGGAUAACUACUGUAAACGGUAGCUACAUCCGCAGACCAUCGGUUGUGCACAGAUGGGAUUAGCCAGUAGGGGGGGUAACGGCUCACCUAGGCGACGAUCCAUAGCUGGUCUGAGAGGAUGACCAGCCACACUGGAACGGGGACACGGUCCAGACUCCUACGGGAGGCAGCAGUGGGGAAUAUUGCACAAUGGGCGCAAGCCUGAUGCAGCCAUGACGCGUGUAUGAAGAAGGCCUUCGGGUUGUAAAGUACUUUCAGCGAGGAGGCGUUACUCGCAGAAGAAGCACCGGCUAACUCCGUGCCAGCAGCCGCGGUAAUUC
rnacentral:rRNA from 1 species